CCUACGGGUGGCAGCAGUAGGGAAAAUUGCUCAAUGGGGGAAACCCUGAAGCAGCAAAGCCGCGUGGAGGAUGAAGGUUUUCGGAUUGUAAACUCCUUUUGUUAGAGAAGAUAAUGACGGUAUCUAACGAAUAAACACCUGCUAACUCCGUGCCAGCAGCCGCGGGAAUACGGCGGGUGCAACAGUUACUCGGAAUCACUUGGCUUAAAGAGCGCGUAGGCGGGAUAGCAGGUCCGAUGUGAAAUCCUAUGGCUUAACCAUAGAACUGCAUUUGAAACUGUUAUUCUAGAGUAUGGGAGAGGUAUGUGGAAUUCGUGGUGUAGGGGUAAAAUCCGUAGAGAUCAAGAGGAAUACUCAUUGCGAAGGCGACCUGCUAGAACAUAACUGACGCUGAUGCGCGAAAGCGUGGGGAGCAAACAGGAUUAGAUACCCCUGUAGUC
rnacentral:rRNA from 1 species